AUGGGAUUGAAAAAGGAAUUGCGGAGUGUGGUGGAACUUCAGCUUCCCGUCAAUGUGCAAACAGCUUCUAUGUAUGCUACAGUACAGGAAGGGCUCCAAAAUCAGCAGAAGUCUUUCAAGUCUGGUUUCACAAGGAACACAACGACCAGAAACGACAUCAAAAACAAUUUUGCUCCGGGUGAGUUGUGGAAGGCCAAGCAUCUCAAAGAGUACAGACGUGCUAAUGGUUUGUCUUACAGUUGUGGGGAGAAAUACAUACCUGGUCAUGCCUGUAACAAAGCACCUGCACCUGCAGCUCAGUUAAAGGCAGCAGAAAUGGUAGACCCUCAUGAGAUCAUUUCCGAUGCAAUUCUGGAUGCUCUGGUAGACGACCAUCAACCUGAAUGUGUUCAUAUCUCAGUUACUGCCUUGUCAGGUGCUGCUCACCCUAAAACAAUACAACUCCGAGCUCUUGUGGGUAACCAAGUGGUGCUGAUUUUGAUCGACUCAGGGAGCACUCACACCUUUGUAGAUAAAGCUUUGCUGAGCAGAGUACCAGUAACUACAGAGAAAUUAGCAACUCCUCUGCACAUGAAAGUAGCAAAUGGAGAUAAAGUGGACUGUACAGAGUUUGUGUCCAACUUGAAUUGGUGGAUUCAGGGUCAUGAUUUUUCUACACCAAUGCAUGUGUUGGAAUUGGGAGGAUAUGACAUUAUUCUGGGAAUGGACUGGCUGGAGAAAUGGGGGGUUAUGCAAUGUCACUGGGCAGAUAAAUGGAUUAAGUUUGACUACCAAGGGAAAGAGAUCAAGCUGCAGGGAGUGUUGCAUGUCAAACAAGAGCAGAUCCAGGAAGUGUCUAUGGAGCAACUGAAGAAGUGGGACAAAGGCAAUGGCAUCUGGGCAACUGCUAUUCUGCAUCACAUUUGUGUUGCUCCAGUAACUGAAGUGUCAGAGGAAGUGCAGAAACUAUUGCAAGAAAAUAAAGCUGCAUUUGUGGAUCCAAAAACCCUACCUCCCCACAGGGAUUUUGACCAUGAGAUACACUUAGUGCCUGAUGCUGUGCCUGUCAACUACAGACCAUAUAGGUACUCUCCUUUGCAGAAAGAUGAGAUAGAGAAGCAGGUCUUAGAAAUGCUGCAAUCUGGCCUGGUCUCACCUAGCUUGAGUCCUUUUGCUUCACCUGUACUAUUGGUCAAGAAAAAAGAUGGUACAUGGAGGUUUUGUGUGGACUAUAGAAAACUCAACUCCCUCACUAUUAAAAGUAAAUUUCCCAUGCCUAUGAUUGAUGAGCUAUUGGAUGAAUUAGGAGGUGCUCAAUGGUUCUCCAAGUUGGAUCUGAGAUCAGGCUACCACCAAAUAAGGAUGGUAGAGGCAGAUGAGUUUAAAAUAGCAUUCAAGACACAUAAUGGACAAUAUCAGUUUAAGGUGAUGCCCUUUGGAUUAUGUACUGCUCCAGCUACUUUCCAAUGUUUCAUGAACUUCAUUUUCAAAGGUUCAAACAGUAAAUUUUUGCUCAUAUUCAUGGAUGACAUAUUGGCGGUCAAUGGGACAUUAGAAGAACACUUGCAACAUUUGCAAGAAGUGUUUGCCAUACUCAAGGAAAACAACUUGUUUGUUAAGGAAAGCAAAUGUGCUUUUGCUCAGAAAUCCAUGGAGUACCUUGGACACAUUAUUACUGCUGCAGGAGUCACCACUGAUCCUGCCAAAACAGCUGCUAUGGUGGAUUGGCCAACUCCCACUAAUGUCACUAAAUUGAGAGGAUUUUUGGGACUCACUGGCUAUUAUAGGUAG
rnacentral:rRNA from 1 species